ensembl:lncRNA
GUUGAGUUUGGGGCUCAUUUGUUUGGCAGCAGUGGUGCCUGGGGUAGAAAUGUAGGAUUUGGAAUCAGGGUGCUACCCAUGACCAAAACCUAACACAGCCAGCAUGGGUCUCAGGACCAACACAGAGCAGAAGCUGGAAAGGCCAGUGAGGAGACUAUUAGUGUAAUACUAUUAGUGUAUACAAAGUCCCUUGAGAAGUUAUUAUUGUAGGCGGGAGACCGGUAGGAUAUUAUUAGUGGACUGAAAAAAGCAGCAGUAUUCCCAAUAGCCAAGACGUGGAGACGACCUGGAUGUCCAUCGACAGGCGGCACCGCAUCGUACGCAGUAUCUUAAUUCCCUGACCAGGGAUUGAACCCACACCCUCCGCAGUGAAAGCUCAGAGUCUUAACCACAGGACCACCAGGGAAGUCCUUGUUCCUCAUUUUAGAGGAAAGAAACUCAGCUUUUCACCAUUGAGUAUCAUGUUAGCUAUGGAUUUGUCACAAAUGGCCUUUAUUAUAUUGAAAUAUAUUCCCUCUAUACCAAUUUUGAUGAGAGUUUUUAUUAUGAAUGGAUGUUGAGUUUUGUCAAAUGCCUUUUCUGCAUCUACUAAGGUGACCAGUGAUUCUUAUCCUUCUUUUUGUUAAUGUGGUGCAUCAUAUUGACUGAUUUGUGUAUAUGGAACCAUCCUGUGAUGCUGAAAUAAAUUCAACUCG